AUGGACGAUCUCGAGCGCAGGCUGCAGCUCGCGGUGGUGAUGUACGUGGGCGGGGCGAGGCCGCCGGUGUCAUGUGAGGAUGCAGCGGUGGCGGUUGCAGCUCAGUUGGGCAUUCCAAGAUUCCAGUUUUCUGUCCACAAAUUCCACCCGGAGGAUUUCCUGGUUGUCUUCGCGGCGCACCAGUUCAGGAACUUGGCGUUAGCUGUUCCGUCGAUUGAGCACCAGGGAAUCAAGCUGUUCAUCAAGCCCUGGCUUAGGCAGGUGCAGGCUACUUCUCGGUUGAUGAGAGUUCAGGUUGACGUGAUGAUUGAAGGUGUGCCAUCACAUGUGUGGUCGCAAAGCACGGCGGCAGAGAUCCUGGGCAGCGCAUGUCUGAUUGAGAGUCUGGCACCAGAGACGGCGAGCAGGGAGGAUCUGUCGCUCUUCAAGCUGAGAGCUUGGUGCGUAGACCCUGACGAGGUGCCGGUUUUUCGUAGACUCUGGGUGCCGGAGCCGGUGGGGACGACGCACGAUCCGGCGGCGCGGGCGCCUGCUUUUCGCCAGCUCCUGGAGUACCCCGCUUUGGUGCAUAUUGGGCGGCUGCGUGACUUCUCGCCGCCGGAGCUUUGGAGAGGUAGGUCGGAUUCUGACGAUGGGAGCGGUCAGAGUGGAUUUCCAGACAGUUCUCGUGGCUCGCAGUUCGGCGGUGAUUGGGUGGUUCAGCCUUGGUCGCGUGGUGUGAGGGACGCUAGAGGCUCUGGUCGCGAGCAGCCUGGUCCGGCGAACGGUGGCGCCGGUGGAAGGACGGGAAGAUCCUACCGGGCCGUUCUGGAAGGCAGGGUGGGGCCCUCCGAUUGGAGGCUUCCGCACAUGGGCGCAGGCCAGCGCUCAGGCUUGGUGGGCCAGGGGGAUAACUUUGCGACCACGACCGAGGAGAUCCCGAGGCAUUCAAAUUUGGCGAGGACCCAGUUGGGAUCACUAGCCACCAGGAGGGAGACAGCUGGCGAAUUGGCUGCAUCGGAUCCGUUGGCAAAGGGUGGUGAGGAGAUCGAGGCGCCAGACAGAUCGGCUUUUGCAGCGAAUCAGGUUCGGGCAGUGGUUCAGCAGCAGGGUACGUUGGUGCUGGGUUCUGAGGUGGCAAGGCAGGAGAAGGCCACCAAUCAGAAGGCGCCUGAGAGGGAGGUGCAGCAUGUGGACACGGCCGCAGUCGAGGAUGAUUUGGUGGUUCCCACGCGGACGGAACACGAGGUGGGACCGGGUGAUGUGCAACCAGCCAGCCUGGAUCCGGUGCUGCCGGACUCCCCGCGGGAUCCCCCACCGCUGGCGGUGGCACAGGAGAUGGAGCCGCAGAUUAUCCCUGCCCAUCAGAUAGUUGUGAUGGGACACGACCAGUCCAACGGCUGGGCCCCGGCCGCGGAUCUGUUGCAUGGCUCUGCGGGUGGACAGCCAAUGAGUGAGGUCGAGGUUGCCCCCACCUCGAUUCCUGGGGCCAUGCAUCCAGAUGUGGGGAGGGAUGGCUCUGUUGGCGACGUGACUACGUACGCUGCAUGCGAUGAUUUGGCGCUGAUUAGCUCGGAGCCUGCUGCCCGGAACAAUGUGCUGGAGUUGAAUGCUACGGAGGCACGUUUAUCCUACAAGGAGGAACUUGCGGUAAACAACAUCAAGAAUUUUUGUGCUGGUCUGCUCAAGAAAUUAGCCCCACCACCACUCAAGGAGUUUGAGGGACUCAGGGGAGUGAAACCUGGACAGGAUCCAUUCACACCUCGGCGUACCACCAGAUCGCUGGGGGUGGGAGGUCCGCGCAAGUCUAAAGCAUCGGCUGCGGAGACUGUUCUGUUGAAGACCCUGGGCUUUGAUUGCGAGGAUUUAGCGGUCUCUGAGGAUGCUCUCGGGCAACUGAGACAGGUGUUUGACUCGCCUCUGCAGGAGCAGCAACUUAGGGCAAUUGCGGCCAUUUUUGGCAAGGCUAUCCCUUUCAAUAUGGGAGGUGAAGUGGAGAGCGACGCGAUGGCAAUAGCAUAG
rnacentral:rRNA from 1 species